rnacentral:snRNA from 1 species
AUACCGUUGCUUACUAGCAAUUG